UUCUAGAAUAGAAGUCACUCAUCUCAGGGAGCCAGCAAACUCCCCCCUCCAACCACCCUCAUUUCCAGAACCUUCCAGUUGUCCCGAGUGGACAGACGGGCUGGACUGGGGCCCUGCCCACAGGGAACCGGAAGCCUGGAGCCACCCCACCUGGUCCCUGUCCCUGUCACUCACUGGGUCCCCAAAGGUCUGGCUGCAGAGGGGACCCCUCCAGCCUGAGACAUGGACGCGGAGCGGGAAGCUCUGCAGAUCCACGCCUACCCUGAGGUGCAGACCUUCUGCCAGAAGCACGGCCUGACGCUGGAGGUUGUGGACCUGCUAUGGGGCCUGGGGGAGUCGGAGGCGUCCAAGCUGCUGAGCCCUGAGCUGCGUCUGGAGGAGCUGGAGCGAUGUCAGCACUCAUCUCUGGGACCCACGUUUGUGG